rnacentral:rRNA from 1 species
AGCGAACGCUGGCGGCGUGGAUUAGGCAUGCAAGUCGAGCGGGAUCUUACUGACGGAUUCCUUCGGGAUGAAGACAGUAAGUGAGAGCGGCGAACGGGUGAGUAAUGCUUAGGUAAUUUGCCCCUAAAUCUGGGAUAGCCUCGGGAAACUGGGAUUAAUACCGGAUGUGGUCUUCCAACGCAUGUUGGAAUGUCUAAAGGCGGGGACCCUUCGGGGCCUGUCGUUUAGGGAUAAGCCUGAGUCCUAUCAGCUUGUUGGUGAGGUAAAAGCUCACCAAGGCUAAGACGGGUAGCUGGUCUGAGAGGAUGGUCAGCCACACUGGGACUGAGACACUGCCCAG